CUCUGUGAUAGAUACUGACCAGCUUUUCACCAAAAAUAUUUUCCAUUUCUCCAGGGCACAAUUAAUCUAUAUUUCCAAGCUUCCUUUGCAGUUAGUUGAGACUUGGGACUAAAUUCUGACCAAUGGAGUCUGAAUAAAAGUGAUUGGCAACACUCCCAGGUCUCAGUGUGCCAUGAGCUGGACUUCCUGAAUGAAGGUGCUACAGAGAACUAGAGCUGGAGCUGAGCAGCCAGGGACUUGGAGAAGAGAUAUGGAUGGAAUGCAUGUACAGACACUUGGAAAAGAUGUGCAGGUGACCUAAAGUGUUCUGGAAAGCUGUACACUUUCAUGGCUCCAGUUUGGCAAGAGUACUAUGAAAAUCUACCAUUGAUCAAGAUUCAGCAAUUCAAGUGGUCUUUAUGUGACUCCAGAGAUUGAGCACAUCUGCAGUUAUUAUUGCAGUAUGACAUAGGUGAAUCUCCAAAUAUGGACUGCAUUUCCCAGCCCCCCUCACAUCCAGAUGAGGCCAGAUGUUCUCACCAUGUUCUCACCUGCUCAACAGGAGGGCGCAGGCUGUGAGGGACAGACGAGAAGACCAGGAAAGAUUGCUGGAUAGCUCUACAGUAAUCACAGAGAAGACAUUUCAACUUGAGUCUCUCCAUUAGAAGUGAUUUUUUUUUUUUUUGCAGAAGAAAUAAUACAUGAAAAGGUAAUAUGGAAGGGGAGGAAUAUAUUUGUCAGAUGGUUCAAAGCUCAAAGGAUUAAAAAUCAGAGAGAAAGAAUAAUAUAACUUGAACAUCCGGAAAACUUAGGGCAAUUUAUCACAGCUACAGGCAUUUCAUGGUUUGUGAACUGAUCUCCUGAGGUCAAGGUGAUCUGGGCUCUCCUAGAUCCAGAAAGAGAAAUUCUCACUCCCUUCAGGCAAAUGUCAUGGUACCUUAACUGUUCCCCUUCUCUGGCCUGGAAUUUUCUCCUUUUGUGCUCCCAUAGCAACUGGCUUGUUCCCCAGCACAUGAAAGUGGGAGAAAGGAGACUCCUAGUCAAGUUGUCUAAUCAAAAGUAUCCAGAAGAAAAAUAUAUUUUCCUUUUUGGAAUAAAAUUGUCAGUCCCAAAGCAAAAAGGAACAACAAAUUGCAUCUAUAAGAAGGCAAAUGUAUAGUAGCCCACCUCCCUUUGUCUGCAAUUUUGCCUUCUGUGGUUUUAGCUACCUUGAGCCAAGUAUGAUUCAAAAAUAUUGGUACAAAAGAUAUUUUCAGAGAGAAAAGAAAGA